CCCUUAGAUGUUCUGGGCCGCACGCGCGCUACACUGAUACAUGCAACGAGUUUAUAACCUUGAUCUGACGGUCUGGGUAAUCUUCAAACUGUAUCGUGUUAGGGAUCGAUUCUUGCAAUUUUUAAUCGUAAACGAGGAAUUCCUAGUAAACGCAAGCCAUCAGCUUGCAUUGAUUACGUCCCUGCCCUUUGUACACACCGCCCGUCGACUCUACCGAUUGAAUGGUUCGGUGAAAACUUUGGACUGUGGCAUUGUCCUUCAUUGGACUUCGCCGUAGGAAAUUGUUUAAACCUCAUCAUUUAGAGGAAGAAUAAGUCGUAACA
rnacentral:rRNA from 1 species